UAUCUCCUUUCCCACUAGAACCCUAACCUUGUUUCCUCAUCUUUAUUUUUCUCCUUCCUUUCCAUGUUCAUCUUUAAUCUUAUUGACGGUGACGUGCAAGGAAUGGGGCCGGAGUAGUGGAUGCUCACAAAACAUCCAAGUCUCGCCUCCUCGACCACCACCUACCCUAGCCGAGUUCUCAAUUUUCGCUCUCCUUUAAAUUGUGACGACCCAACUGUUUACUAGUUCAAGGCCAGGGCUUAAUAAAUCUGGAUGAUUUAUGCAUUGAAUUAGUUUACUUCAAUUCGCAAAAUAUCAACCCAUCAAUAUAUACUAGCAAUUAGCAGGUGGAUGUUGAUUGCAUAUGGACCCAUACUACUUCAAAUGAUUAACGAUGAAGGACAAGGAAUAGAGAGAUGAUUGAAGAUUUUUUUAAUUGUACUUUAGUUAUUAGAAAUGAGGAUUUUUUUAGCAAUGCAAAUUUAAGAUUACCAAUGAGGAAUAUGAAUUUACUAUUUUUGUGAAUUAUAGAUAAUUUGUUAUUAACUACAGUACAAUUCAUAUUUGUAAAAUUUUAAUUCUUUAAUGAUAUUUUGUAAGUAAU